rnacentral:rRNA from 1 species
AAUGAACGCUGGCGGCGCGCCUAAUACAUGCAAGUCGAGCGAGAAGACGUAGCAAUACGUUUGUAAAGCGGCGAACGGGUGAGGAAUACAUGGGUAACCUACCCUAGAGUGGGGAAUAACUAGCCGAAAGGUUAGCUAAUACCGCGUACGCUCCUUGGACUUCGGUUCAGGGAGGAAAGCGAUACCGAGGGUAUCGCGCUCUUGGAUGGGCUCAUGUCCUAUCAGCUUGUUGGUGAGGUAACGGCUCACCAAGGCUUCGACGGGUAGCUGGUCUGAGAGGACGAUCAGCCACACUGGCACUGCGACACGGGCCAGACUCCUACGGGAGGCAGCAGUAAGGAAUAUUGCGCAAUGGGCGAAAGCUUGACGCAGCGACGCCGCGUGGGGGAGUGAAGGUC